rnacentral:miRNA from 1 species
GGCUUUGCCGCGAGGUGGGAGAAGGGACUGACGGGCUGCCCUCUGUCCCUUCCCACACCUCCCGGAAAAGCC